rnacentral:rRNA from 1 species
GAGUUUGAUCCUGGCUCAGGAUGAACGCUGGUGGCGUGCCUAACACAUGCAAGUCGAGCGCGGUUGUGCUUAGUAUUGAGUGUUUUAUUGAUAUAAAACAUUGAAUUCUAUGCACAACUGAGCGGCGGACGGGUGAGUAACGCGUGGGUAACCUGCCCUAUACACAUGGAUAACAUACUGAAAAGUUUACUAAUACAUGAUAAAAUAGUUUUUCGGCAUCGAAGAAUUAUCAAAGUGUUAGCGGUAUAGGAUGGACCCGCGUCUGAUUAGCUAGUUGGUGAGAUAACUGCCCACCAAGGCGACGAUCAGUAGCCGACCUGAGAGGGUGAUCGGCCACAUUGGAACUGAGACACGGUCCAAACUCCUACGGGAGGCAGCAGUGGGGAAUAUUGCACAAUGGGCGCAAGCCUGAUGCAGCAACGCCGCGUGAACGAUGAAGGUCUUCGGAUCGUAAAGUUCUGUUGCAGGGGAAGA